rnacentral:miRNA from 1 species
UGAUUAGUUUCAGUUGGUCUGGGC